GAGAGGUGGUGAUGGGUGCUUCCCUAGGUCACCUCCCAAGUAAACCCUGUCCCUGCAGUCCUGGUCUCAGGGACGGCUUCUGGGAACCCCGAUGGAGAUUCUAGCUUCGGAGUGCAGGUCCGUGUUCCACAUCCUCUCCAGAGUUCCCAGGGCCAAGCCCACCUGCAACCAGAUAUGCAAACUGAAGCCACCAGAGAUUUGAUCAAGACCUCAUGGCUGUUAAACAGCAGAAUCAGCUUCCAACCCAUAACUGAUCUACUUCCCAGCCUUCUCUUGGGCACCACACCGCAUUGUCCCUUAUACCAUUUGCUGCCUUAAUCUUCAGACCCCAAAGAGACUUCUCCAAUGUAUCGUGCAAAGGAAGAAAACCAGAACUGUCAUAGCAAAGACCUUCUGAGGCUCCCUGAUGUUUUUACCCCAUGAAUGCCUCCUUCUUCCA